rnacentral:rRNA from 1 species
UACGAGGGGAGCAAGCGUUGUUCGGAUUUACUGGGCGUAAAGGGCGCGUAGGCGGCCACGACAAGUCACUUGUGAAAUCUCCGGGCUUAACCCGGAAAGGUCAGCCGAUACUGCGGGGCUAGAGUGCAGAAGGGGCAACUGGAAUUCUCGGUGUAGCGGUGAAAUGCGUAGAUAUCGAGAGGAACACCUGCGGCGAAGGCGGGUUGCUGGGCUGACACUGACGCUGAGGCGCGAAAGCUAGGGGAGCGAACGGG